rnacentral:ncRNA from 1 species
GCAGAGUAGAUGCCGUGCGUAAAGUGCCUGGGGAUGGGACGUCGCCUCAGGACGAUAAGCUUAAUUUUGUUAUAAGCGAACGGUAUGGCAAUCGCGUCCGCUGU